rnacentral:lncRNA from 1 species
GUAAAAUAUAUCAUUCCCUACCUCAUUAAUCCCUAAAACUCCAUGGUGACUUUACUCUAUGAUCUCCAGUGAGAUUCUGAGGUCAUACAGGAAGUGAGGCAUUUUGCUGGAUUUCUCAGGUUCUUACUGCCAGUUGUUCUUCUUUGGAGGCCUGUUGAUGUCUGCAGUGAAUGUGUGGGCCAAAGAUCUCCCCUAAUGGUGUUGGUGUCUGCGUUUCAGAUCAUCACUGCCCUGGAGGAGGAUGGCACAGCUCAGAAGAUGCAAUUGGGCUAUCGUCUCCAGCAGAUUGCAGCUGCUGUGGAAAACAAGGUCACGGAUCUAUAGGGACCAGGGUGUCCUGGCCUGCUGUUGCCUCAGUUCUGCCUGGACACUCCUGGAACCUUAAGGAGAAGACCACCUUCUUAGAUGUCUAUAGUGACUGACAAGCAGGUUUAGUGGAAGGUGGUUCCUAGUCUCCUGGUGGCUCUGGCCUUAGCCCUGCUAGACUCACCUUGUAGGCGUGGGACCUUGAAGCUCAUGAGGUGGUGCCUGGCUUGCUCUCUGAGCUCAGUGGCCCUGAGUACUACUUCUUGUGUGACAUCAGCCUGCUUGGAUAUGGGAUUUAGGGUUUCCAGAGUGUUUGGAAGGGCCUCCAGGACCCUGGGGAGACUGUACUAUUCCUGAGCACCGGCCUUUAUCCCAACAGGAUUCAGAGACUUUCUGUCCUCCAUCAUCCCUGACCUUGGUUUAGUUUCCUCUGUCCUUGUUGCUGCUGCCACAUCCAAGGUCUCUUAGAUAAAGCCUUUCCUAGGUCAUUGCAAACUGACCCCUCAGCAAGGCUGGCUGCCUCAGGGCCAUCCUAUCUUCCAGGCAGCCAGUAAUGAGGGGUAUCUGCUGAGGGGGUCUUGGGGAGAAGGGUGGCCCACUGACUCAGCUUUUCAUUAAAGGAUAACACACUGAGUAAGUAGACUGUGAUGUGUGGGCUCACCCAGCCCCUCCCAUCAUAUGAGGGUGGUAGCUAUGCUUGGCAAGCACAGGGUAAGUGUGUUGGGGGGUGAACUUUGUACUUUGGAGGUCUCUCAAGGCCCCUACUAAAGGCCCGUUGCAGGUCUGGCUAUCCUUGGCUCCUGGGACCAAAGCUUUUGGAAAGGGAGAACUUCAUCCAGGACCAGUUGGGGAAGGCCUGUGACCCAAGUUGGAGGGGUCCACCAUCUCUUCAACUUAAGUUUUAUAACUUCUGUACUCAUGUUUCAUUUAUUUUGAAAGGAAUUGGGAAAGGGUGGCAUUAUUACAGGUGACUCUAGGCAGCAUAGGUCUUAAGGGCCCUUUUCUAUGGCUCCAUUUCUAGACCUUUGGUUUCCAAGUCAAGGCACCCUUAGAGCAAGGGAUCAACCCAACUGCCUACCUGCAUGAAGGCCAGCUUGGGUGGUUUUACCUGAUACAUAGCUGGAGGUGAUCUUUGAGACAGUCCUAGUGGGGUCUUACAUUGCUAACUGGGUUAGUAGGCUGGGGUUGAUGGUUUUGUGACAGAGACUUCCCUCAGGAGACCAGUCCCUCACUGAACAAUGGUGAAAUGGGGGCCCUUCAUCUCUUAAGGUCCUCAAAAAGUACACUCCUUUGGUUUUCUGCCUACUCCUUAUAACCCUGUGACCCCCAGCCUCCCCUUGGGGUCUUCCUUGAGGGUUUGAAGGGACAGGCUGCUAUAAUUCUAGGAGUCCUUUCCCUGCCUCCCUUUGGUACCCAAAAACAUCUGUAAAAUUCUUUAAUGCAGUAGGACUCACAUUGGUCUUGUCCAUGCCAGAGGUAGUCAUAGCUGCUAUUCUGUUAGCUCUAAUGUCCCUCCUUCUCUCUUUCUGCUAGAUGUGGGUCAGACCACAGUUGGACAGGUUAGUGGUCAGGUAUUGUCAUUCACGAGCAUGUGAGCUUCAAAUGGGUGCCAUAGCCAGGUUUUUAUAGUCACUCAGAAUGGUUCUGAUGCUCCCCCAGUAGUUGCUUUGGCAAACUAUGGAGCUGACAGUCUCUAGAAGCAGGGCAGAUGGAGAAUGCAGUUUGGGGUGGACUUUAAGCAGGCACAUAAAGGGAGGCAGUCUUGGUUAAUACCACAAAGACCACAAAGCCAAGCCUCUAUUCCAUACUCGGGCCUCUGCAAGUUUUAGAGGCCUUUAACUGAAGGUGAGGGCUCCCAGGAAAAGAAGGCCAAGUACUUGCAUACCUGGGCACAUGUACAUAGGAGGGGUGAGUAGUGAACUUGUUUUGAGUUACUCAAUUUUGUGGCUCACCUUCACAAAAUAUUUGUUUUGUGGUGCUGGGAAUGGAAUCCAGGACCUCAUGGGUACUAGGCAAGCACUGUAUCACUGAGGUACAUCCCUGGUCCGGAACUUUGUUGUAAUAGAAGAAAUAUAAAGAAAAAAAAAAUCCUACCACAAUAAGAUAGGAAUCCCUUCAAGUCUUCACUUAAACACCAUGGCUCACAAUGGAGAUGCCAUCACUGACAAGCUUUGCUCAUUUGGGUCCAGUUCACAAUUUCAAUGUAGAAUGUUUGUAAUUCAGUUUAAUCAGUCUUUUUCUUACCAAGAUUUCAAAGGUAUGCUCUCAUUACUGUUUUCUAUAAGCCUGUUAGCAUACAAAGCACCUUUGUUUCUCAGUAUUACCUGGGACUCCUUAGGGAAUUUAUGGAGCAAAUUGCUUUAUUAAAAUAGCUUUCACUAAUUUAAAUAUUGGAGUCAUUGUCCAAAUGGUUAUAAGAUCUAGGAGGUUUGUAUUUAUUUAUUUACUUUAUUAUUUUUUUAAAAAAAUAUUAUUUUAAUUGUUGACAGACCUUUAUUUUAUUUAUUUAUAUGCGGUGCUGAGAAUUGAACCCAGUGCCUCACACAUGCCAGGCAAGUGCCCUACUGCUGAGCCCCAGCCCCUGUGUUUAUUUUUUGAUGUGGAAAGAAUCAUUUGCCAGUCAAUGUAACAGCUGAAUUUGUGCGGAUACAUUUUGUAAUCUUUUGAAAGAACUUGGAGUCUUGGGAAUGGACAGAAGCACCCUGACUCCUACUAGCCAAUGCCAGCAGGUGGUUUUGGCUGUGUUGGGGGCCACAGGGUGAGCCUGGUUGCCCAGGUUUCUCUGCUGGACCCCAACACCUACUGAUGUUUUUAUUUCAUCUGCCAGGCUCCUAAAAUAUAACACAUUGAAGAAAAAACACAUCUCCUACAUCACUGAGAUCAGCUGAUUGGCAAUGGUUCAUGGGUCUCUUUAAAAGUGUUCUGUCCUAAUAAAGGUUGAUAGUUUAUCCAAAUCCAAAUUUACCAAAAAUAGAAGACAAGAAUAUUGUCAUGAUGUUUGAAAGGGAAUUUCUUCCUUGAGAACAAGUUUGGGAUUCUCUACCUUAAGUGCUUGGAUUAUCUUACUGAUAUGUGCACCUUAAACAGGUGAGCUGUGGGCUAAGCCUCAUGAAGAAUUUUCUGGUGCAGGAAUGUGCUCAUUGCCCAGUCCAGUCCCAGCUGGUAUCUGGGUCCCUAUUGAAGUAUUAAAGUGGGCAUGGUGAUAUACUGCCAUCUUCUGGCCAUAGUGUAGAAUAUGAAGCAGAUAAGGAGAGUUUCUUUAUCUUGAGCUGUUUAGAAAGUUACAGUGGGAGUCUGUAGCUCUGGGGCUGGUCUCUAAUGUAAAUUUUGGUUUUAGAUUACUACAUCCAAGGACAGAAUUGAGAUACUAUAACACUGAGUGACUAGUCAGGAAAACAAAUCACUCUAGGAGUUCCUAAGUGGGACAAAUAGGGAGUUGAAUGACAGGAGCCCUGUUCUGAGUGACAGAAGGCCUGGGUUCUAGUUUCUCCUUCCCUGCUAUGACCUGGUGAGAAGGGUAGAGAUUCUGGCAUGUGGUUUGAGCCACCCUGAGUCCUGGGUUACAUCCAGGUUGGCACCUGGCAGGAUUUAAUGAAAUAUUUUAGGUGCUGGAUCUGUCCAUCUCCUGGCAGGAUGCUGAUGGCAUGUACCAGAAAAGAUGUAACCAGAAGAGAGUUUAACCAGGGAACUACAUAUAGAGCUUCAGGUAUAAGGGAAGCCAAUUAUGGGCAGUGAAGUGUAGCUCUCACUAGCCCUGGGCCCCAAGGGGGCAGGGACAGAACAGUUAUCAGGACCAGUGGGGCUGUAACUGGAGGAGGGGCUGCCCCCCAAGUAGCUUCAGCCUUUAGAGAAGGAAGGCAGCUGCUGCAAACCUGCAGGAGGAUGCUGGGGAUAAUUAUUCUGGCCUCCUGCUCCUUGCACUGCUCAGACAUCUGUUAGCUUGCUUGGGUAUCUGGCCCUGAAAGCCAGAGGACAGGGGAGCCUUGCUGGUGCAGAUAAUGGGGAUCAGCUUCUGGAGUGCAGAACAGGGUGCAAGUCAUAGAAAGGACCAUUGGUGCAGCUCACCUGAGUACCUACUGCCCUGUGAGACACCUAGUAGGCUUUCUAUCAUGAAAGGCUGUGGUAGUUCCUGUUUUAGCAGGACUUUUUUUUUAGCCUCCCAGUUCCCAGGAUUUUCUCUCCACACCAUACCCAGGUGUCACUUGGGAAGGACUACAUAGUCUACCUGAAGAACCUUGGAAACCCCAACUUUUCAGGGCUCUCAUACCUUUUCUCCAGGUUGGGUGGGAUGCUGGGUGUAACCCAGGAAGUAACCCAAGGAAGAAGUUGCAGGCUGUGGAAGACAUCUUUUCUGUUCUCUGUCUACAGUUCUCUGUCCAACCCAGAGACGCAGAAGCUGGUGCCCCUGCAUUCCUCAUAUCCAUUGAAGUUUGUGAAGGCAUUCCAAACCCCUUGCAGAGAAUCUCACCUGCACCCAGGCCAGCCUGCUCAUUGUACUUGUGUGUUUGUAUUUGUGCAUACAUGUACUCAUGAUGUAUACAUCAUUGGGGGUAGGCAGAACCUCUGUUAUAAAGGUGCUGUGGUGGAAAGUCCCAUGGAGUUAGAGCAUGAAGUCAGGGUUUGGCCUGGGCUUGACCACUGUGAGACAACUACCUCUUUUUCUGAAACUUGGGUGGUUCUUCUGUAAAAUUGGGUCUAUAACCACCUUUCUAGAGGAAGCAUCCUUUGAAAACUCAUGGCAGGGGGAAGGGCCCUGGUGACUCUCAGAGUUUUUAGAAAUCCUCUACAUCCCAGGGGCUGGGCUUACCCCUGCUGUAGGUGUCACACUGGGUGACAUCCCUCCCCCCACCAACACACACUUGAGGCUUUGUUGGAAAAGGAGAGGGGCAGUCAGAAGUAUAUCUUACCAUGGCCUCUACUGGGAUGGAGGGAAACAUGAGCACAUGGAGGGGCACAAGCUGGGAUCCAGAAGUCCUGUGCCAGCUGGGCCUCAAUGCCACUACUGUGUACUGCAUAAGAAAGCCCUCUAUCAUGAGGGCCUCUUCACCUUGAGCUGGGUUUGUGAUCUGAAGCUGAGCAUGCCUGGCUCCAUGUUUAAUUUCACCUGACCCUUAUCUUUAAUCAGUUGGAGUAUGUUUUCUUUCAUAACCGUGAAUUUGACAGCAGGCCCUCUGGACAGCUAUCCCUCUAGCCUGUUCAUUGUGUAAUGUCUCAGGUACUUCACAUAAACAAACUAGUUAGUAACAAGAAUAGCUGAGAAAUAAUGGUGUUUUUUCUUUUUUUUUGGUACCGGGAUUGAACCCAUGGGUGUUUAACCACUAAGCCUUUUUUAUAUUUUAUUUUGAGACAGUGUCUUUGCUAAGUUGCUUAAGGCCUCACUAAAUUGCUUACGAUGGCUUUGAACUGGUGGUCCUCCUGCUUCAGUCUCCCAAGCUGCUGGGAAAUAACGGCUAGACUUGGCUAGGAAAUAAUGUCUUUGACAAAAAUAAUCACUUUUUAUUUAUUUUUGGUACUGGGGAUUGAAUCCAGGGGCACUUAACCACUGAACUAUACUGUCAGCCCUUUUUAUUUUGAGACAGGGCCUUGCUAAAUUGCUGAGGCUGGCUUUGAACUUCCUGUCUCAGCCUCCUGAGAUGCUGGGAUUUUUUGUGUUUUUUGAGAUUUGCAGAACUGAAAACAUUUUGUAACUAGGUGAUUAAAAUCAAAUGUGUGUAGGGACUGGGGCUGUUGCUCAGUGGCAGAGCAUUUGCCUAGCAUGUGUAAGCCACUGGGUUCAAUCCUUAGCACUGCAUAAAAACAAAAACAAAUAGUGCUCUCAUUCUACAACUACAAACAACAACAACAACAACAAAAAUACACACAAAAAAACAAAUGUGUGUUAAUCUGGCCAUAAAUCUUCAGCUGUGAGAAGGCUACAAUUAUUUAUCUCCUAUAUAAACUACUGUUAAUUCGGCUUCCUGGCAAGAUGGUCCUUAUGUACCAGUCAUGCUGUGAUUGGCUAGCUCAUCACUUAAUUAACUUCUUUCUCUACCUCUGCCUUGUCUCUUAACUGGUUGGCUUCCAUUGUGUGGUGAGCAGAAAGACUUUUAUGAUGAUAAAUCGAAGGGCACAUCAACUGCUAGGAUCAGAGACACCAAGUUCCUGCCCUGCCACCUGUCCCAUCCCUGCAAUCCCCUGAGAGGUUUUUCACCUCUUUCUCCCAUGCUCAGGGUAGAUUCCUGAGUUCUUCAAGGCUGUAGAGAUCUAGAAUCCAAGAGAUAGAGGAAGGCCCUUUGCCUCUGACUUUCACAUAUAUGACCCCCAUAUAUGUGAAAGGUGCUGCUCUGGCAUGUAGGCUGGAGAAGAUGGAGAAGGUGUCCCUUCACUGGGGAGCUUGAGACAAGGGAAGAGGAAUGACUUGCUCAAGAACACAGCAAAUGGGACUAGAACCUAGAUCUCUGGACCCACAAAUGGAAUCCAGGCUUCUGCUGCUUCAAUGCUGCCCAAGUUCAACCUCUCACCAUACUCUUUUUCCCUGGAUGCAUCCAGGUCACCUUCUGGAACCUUCUGUGCCUUUAUCUCCAUACUGGACCAGGAUUCUGAGCCUUUUAGGAGACAACAAAGUCCAGUUCCUUCUCUGCUUCUUGUUCCCUGCCUCCUUGUACUUCAGUCUUUUGGUUUCCUAUCAGCUCCCUUCUCAUUCCUCUCAUAGUCCAUUUCUCAUUUUAACUCUUAUCAGUCUUUGUUCCUACAUUUGAAGGACUAUUACAUGCACGGAUAGAUGUUUAGGAUUUUUUUUAUCUUUAAUGUUUUAUCCUUUUUUAUUAUUAAAACUUCCUUUUUAUUUCUAGUAAUACUUCUUAUUUUUAUUGGUGCAUAAUAAUUAUACAUAAUAGUGUAAUUCAUUAUGCCAUAUUCAUACAUUCACAUAACAAUCUACUCAAUCUUGUUCUCCAGUACUUUCCUUUUCCCUCCUGUCCUCCCUUUCCCUGAUCUAUUUGCUCUAUUGAUCUCCCUUCUGUUAUUUUAGUUAUUACACUAUAAUUAUAAACAGAAGUGGGAUUCAUUGUGGUAUAUUCAUAUACAUCUGGUAAUACUUUUGGAGUUUGCACUUCCUGUUUGAAUGCUGUUCAAUAUCCAGUGUAUAAUAAAACAAACUUUAAAAUAUUUAUUUUUAAUCUACAUAAUAUUUGCACUUACUUAUGGGGGAUAGUAUAAUUUGAUACAUGUGUACAAUGUGUAAUGAUAAAAUCUGAGUAAUUAGCAUUUCCAUUAAAUAUUAUUAUUUCUAUGUGUUGGGAAUCUUCAAACACUUCUCUAGUUAUUUUAAAAGAUGUAAUUAAUUGGUUACUCUAUAUUCAAGAAUACCCCAGGUGGCAUUAUUAUAUAUAUAUAUUUCUCCUAUGUGCUACAGAACAUCAGAACUACUUUCUCCCUUCUAGAAAAAUGAAAGUAUUUGAACCCACUUUGAAAAUUCUAUAAUGGGUCACUUGUUGACAACUCUUGACUUUCAUGAAAUUAAACUUUAAUUCAUUACCUGUUGUUAUAGAUAUUAGUAAUACAACUGUGAUUUUGAUUUUAAGAUAAAAAUCAAAUUUUUACAAAAGGAAAUAUAUCAAAGUCAGCCCUCAAAUUGAUUCAUAGCUUCUAGUACUUACUCACUUUUAAAAUUUUUAAUAAAAAGCAAAGAAAAGGCAGUGAAAAUAAAAUUAACCAUAUGGUAAAAAAUAUUGAAAUUACGAGUCUUAACCUAUUAAUUUCAUUGAAAAUAAAAGAAAAUAAAACUUGAAUGCUAUAAUAUUUUAAAAAUUAAAAAUCAUAAGGACAAGCUAUUCUUGGAGGAUAUUCUCUAUAUUCAAGAAUACCCCAAGUGGUGUUACCGCUGUUGAACGGUGACGAGUUCUUGCUUCCCCAAUGUUGAAGAAUAACACCAAAGAAGCACGCCGAGGCAAGGUCAGAGUAGAAAUUAGAAGUUUAUUAAAGGACAGCAGAAAAGACUUCUCCCGGAGGAAGAAGGGGACCCAAGAGGUGGAAUCCGUGGAAGGGAUGUUGUCUCCCCUUUUUAUAGUUCUUUCAGUGAUGGAAUGUAGGUGGGAAGGCCUGAGGGGUGGGACACAGGUGGGCCAAAGAAGUAAUCUGGUCAGGAAGGACUUCUGAGUCAGCACCUUUUCUCUGGGGGCUGUUCAUUAACAUUUCUUUGAGGUGGACUUUGGCCUAGGGCCUUUUCGGGACUUCGGGACUUCCAUGAGUUGUCCUGUGUUUUCCCUGAGUCAUUCUCCGCAUGGUCUCCAUUUUAGAUUUCACUCGAUAUUAGACCCGAUUUAUCUAACUACACUGACUACCUAACUUUAAAUCUGGCUUCAGUGGCAUUAUUAUUAUAUAUUACAUUUUACACACACAUAUAUAUAGUUCUCCUAUGUGCUACAGAACUUCAGAACUACUUUCUUCCUUCUAACAGUAUUUUGAUGCCCAUUAUCUAUCCUCUCUAUUCUCCCUAACUGCCCCCCUUCUUAGAUUCUAGUGACCUUUAUUCUACUCUCUACUCCCAUGUGAUCAACUCUUUUAGCUUCUGUAAAUGAGGAAAACUUGUGGUACUUGUUUUUUGGUGUCUGACUUAACAUAAUGUCCUCCAGUUUUAUCUUUGUUGCUGCAAUUAUUACAGAAUUUAAUUUUUAGUGGCAGAAAAGUAUUCCACUGUUGCUGAGAGCCACAGCCGAGUCGGAAUGGCCCCUGGCAUUUUACCAGAAGUAUGGUUGAGAGGCGAGCCAUUAAGAUGAUGUUGGAUUGAAACAGGUUGUGUAUUCAAUUGUAUAUUAGACCUUUACUGUCCGGUAAUAGGAUGGCUCUUGCUGCCUAGGGCGCCCGCUACUUUGGAGUUCCCGUUGAGUUCUCGCGAGGUGAGUGUGUGGUGUGUUCCUGCAGGAACCGUGUGGGUGGCGUUCUGGAGAGUUCCCAGGGAGUGUGCGUGGAAUGCUGUGGGAGUUCGGAAAUAAAGUUUGUUCCUGCUUGAGUGGCUCGUAAUUUGUGCCCAGCCAGACUGCGGCACACUGUGUAUAUAUACACCACAGUUUAUUUGUUUUGGCUUUUUUGUGUGGGUACAUUGUGUAUGGUGUUCAGGAUUAACCUAGGGCCUGUGUAUGCUAGGCACUUACUCAUUCAUUCUUCCAUUAGUAGACGUCUUCAUUGAAUUCCACAUCUUCGCUAUUGUGAAUAGUGCUUCAAUAAACAUGGACUUUCAGGUAUCCCUUUGGUAUACUGAUAUCUAUCUAUCUAUCUAUCUAUCUGUCCAUCAUCUAUCAUGCAUCUAUCAUCUUCUUUGGAUAUAUGCUCAGUAGCAGAAUUGCUGGUUCUUAUGGUAGUCCUGUUUUCAGUGUUGUCCAUAAUGGCUUCACUAAUUUACCUCCCCGCCAACAAUGUAUAAGAAUCCCCUUCUUCCAUAUACUUGCUAGCAUUUAUUUAUUUAUUUAUUUAUUUUGCAUUUUUGGUAAUUGCCAUUCUAAUUAGGGUGAGAUGAUAGCUCAUGGUUUUGAUCUGCAUUUCCCUGAUAAUCAGUGAUGUUGAGCAGUUUUCAGAUACUUCUAAGCCAUUCAUGUCUUUUUUUUUUUUUUUUUAGUUGUAGAUGGACACAAUACCAUUUAUUUUUAUGUGAUGCUGAGGACCGAACCCAGUGCCUCACAUGUGUGAGGCAAGCGCUCUGCCACUGAGCCACAAUCCCAGUUCCAUUUAUGUCUUUUGAGAGCUGUCUAUUCAGAUCAUUCCCACUUCCCUUUUCCUUCAGUACUGUGAAUUGAACACAGGGCCUCAUAUGCUAGGCAAGCACUCUUUCAGUGAGCUAUAUCCCCAGCCACCACCACCUUUAAAAAAUUUUGAGACAGGGUUUUGCUAAAUUGCCCAGGCUGGCCUCAAACUUGUGAUUCUCUUGCCUUAGGCUCUGGAGUAGCUGGGAUCACAGGCAUGUACAAUCAUACCCAGCUGCUUUGACCAUUUAAAAAUUGGGUUAUUUGGCUUUUUUUUUUUUUUUGCUCUUGAGUUCUUUGUACAUUUGGGAUAUUAAUCUCUUGUUAGUUCAGCAGUUUCCAAGUAUUUUCUCCCCUUUUGCAGGUUGUCUCUUCACUUUGUUGUUUCCUUUGCUGAACAGAAACUUCUUACUUUGUUUAUUUUUCUUUUUGUUGCCUGUGCUUUUGGGGUCUUAUGUGAAAAAUCAUUGCCUAUAUCAAUGAUUUAAAGUGUUUUGUGUUUUCUUCUCAUAGUUUUACAGUUUUAGAUCUCACAUUCAAUUCUUUGAUCUAUUUUGAGUUGGUUUUUAUAUGUGGCAAGAGAUAGGGGUCUAGUUUCAUUCCUCUAUAUAUAGAUAUCCAGUUUCUCCAGCACCAUUUAUUGAAGAAAUUGCCUUUUUUUCUAAUGUAUGUUUGGCACUUUUACCAAAGAUGUAUUUCUGUUUUUAUUUUGCUCCAUUGGUCUGUGUGUCUGUUUUUAUGCCAGAACCACGUUCUUUUGGUUGUUAUGACUUUGUUGCAUUUUUUUGGUUGUUGUUGCAUGUUUUGAGGUCAGCUAUUGUGAUGUUUCCAGAUUUGCUCUUUAGAAAAAUAAUUUAACCUUUAUUUUAUUAUUAUUAUUAUUGUUUAUGUGGUGCUGAGGAUCGAUCCAGUGACUCACCCAUGCUCUUCCAUGACCUACAACCUCAGCACCAGCUUUGCUCUUUAAAUCAAGAUUGCUUUGCUAUUUGGGGUCUUUCUUCUUCCACAUCACCUUUAAGAUUAGGAUUGUUAAUUAAAAUUUAAAAAAAAUAGGAUUUUUUUUCUAGUUCUAUGAAGAAUAUUGUUAGGAUUUUGAUGGGGACUACAUUGAAUCUAUAAGUUGCUUUGGAUAUAUGGACUUUUUUUUAAUAUUUAUUUUUUAAUUAUCUGCAGACACAACAUCUUUGUUUGUAUGUGGUGCUGAGGAUCGAACCUGGGCCGCACGCAUGCCAGGCGAGCGCACUACUGCUUGAGCCACAUCCCCAGCCCCAAUAUGGACAUUUUUAACAAUUCUUGCAAUCAGUGAAUAUGGAUGUCUUUCCUUUUUUUUCAAUAUUUUUCUUUUAGUCAUUGAUGGACCUUUAUUUAAUUUAUUUAUUUGUAUGUGGUGCUGAGAAGUGAACACCACACACAUGCCAGGGCCUCACACAUGCCAGGCAAAUGCUCUACCACUGAGCUACAACCCCAGCCCCAUGUCUUUCCAUUUUAGAUGUCUUCUUUAAUUUCUUUCAUCAGUGUUUUGUAAUUUUCUUUGUAGAGAUUUUCACUUUCUUGGUUAAAUUCAUCUGUACUUAUUUUUGGUAGGUAUUGUGAAUGGGAUUGCUUUCUCAACUUAUAAAAUUUUUG